AGCUGAAUGGCGCAGCGGAAGCGCGCCGGGCUCAUACGAUUACGUAAUCGAAACCCGGAGGACGCAAGAUCGAAACUUGCUUCAGCUA